rfam:Mycobacterium sherrisii strain BC1_M4 PROKKA_contig000002, whole genome shotgun sequence.
AACGCUGCGCAAGUGGGCCGACGGUCGACUCCGGCAGCGUGAGGGACCCCAGCCCGGCCCCGGAAAGCUGCAG